AGACUCAGUGAACAUGAUGAUUGAGUUUUCACACUCACAUGUGAGAUGUGCCUCCUUCAAACCUUGUUAUGAUGUUGGCACAUUACCUGUCUAACA
ensembl:snoRNA